rnacentral:rRNA from 1 species
AGUGAACGCUGGCGGUAGGCCUAACACAUGCAAGUCGAACGGCAGCACAGUAAGAGCUUGCUCUUACGGGUGGCGAGUGGCGGACGGGUGAGGAAUACAUCGGAAUCUACUUUUUCGUGGGGGAUAACGUAGGGAAACUUACGCUAAUACCGCAUACGACCUACGGGUGAAAGCAGGGGAUCUUCGGACCUUGCGCGAUUGAAUGAGCCGAUGUCGGAUUAGCUAGUUGGCGGGGUAAAGGCCCACCAAGGCGACGAUCCGUAGCUGGUCUGAGAGGAUGAUCAGCCACACUGGAACUGAGAAACGGUCCAGACUCCUACGGGAGGCAGCAGUGGGGAAUAUUAGACAAGGGGCGCAAGCCUGAUCCAGCCAUACCGCGUGGGUGAAGAAGGCCUUCGGGUUGUAAAGCCCUUUUGUUGGGAAAGAAAAGCAGCAGGUUAAUACCCCGCUGUUCUGACGGUACCCAAAGAAUAAGCACCGGCUAACUUCGUG